rfam:Cephalotus follicularis DNA, scaffold: scaffold2931, isolate: St1.
CACUGGAGGCAGCGGUUUAUCGAUCUUUUCCUGGUAGUUUUUGUUGUGAAAAAUAAUACAACACAAAAAUCAUGAAUCGAUCGAUAAACCUCUGCAUCCAGC